AUUGAACGCUGGCGGCAGGCUUAACACAUGCAAGUCGAGCGGGGGAAGGUAGCUUGCUACCGGACCUAGCGGCGGACGGGUGAGUAAUGCUUAGGAAUCUGCCUAGUAGUGGGGGACAACAUCGCGAAAGGGAUGCUACUAACGCAUACGUACUACGGGAGAAAGCAGGGGAUCUUCGGACCUUGCGCUAAUUGAUGAGCCAAAGUCGGAUUAGCUAGUUGGUGGGGUAAAGGCCUACCAAGGAGACGAUCUGUAGCGGGUCUGAGAGGAUGAUCCUCCACACUGGGACUGAGACACGGCCCAGACUCCUACUGUAGGCAGAUGUGGGGAUUAUUGGACAAUGGGGGGAACCCUGAUCCAGCCAUGCCGCGUGUGUGAAGAAGGCCUUAUGGUUGUAAAGCACUUUAAGCGAGGAGGAGGCUACUCUAGUUAAUACCUAGGGAUAGUGGACGUUACUCGCAGAAUAAGCACCGGCUAACUCUGUGCCAGCCGCCGCGGUAA
rnacentral:rRNA from 1 species